rnacentral:misc_RNA from 1 species
UCCGGUUUGUCACCGGCAGUCUCCUUAGAGUUCCCACCCGAAGUGCUGGCAAAUAAGGACAAGGGUUGCGCUCGUUACGGGACUUAACCCAACAUCUCACGACACGAGCUGACGACAGCCAUGCAGCACCUGUCUCAGAGUUCCCGAAGGCACCAAUCCAUCUCUGGAAAGUUCCCUGGAUGUCAAGACCUGGUAAGGUUCUUCGCGUUGCGUCGAAUUAAACCACAUGCUCCACCGCUUGUGCGGGCCCCCGUCAAUUCAUUUGAGUUUUAAUCUUGCGACCGUACUCCCCAGGCGGUCAACUUAGCGCGUUAGCUACGCCACUAAGGAGACUAAGCUCCCCAACGGCUAGUUGACAUCGUUUACGGCGUGGACUAC